rnacentral:rRNA from 1 species
UGGGUAACCUGCCUCAAAGAGGGGAAUAGCCUCCCGAAAGGGAGAUUAAUACCGCAUAAUAUGUUUUAAUCGCAUGAUUUUAACAUCAAAGGAUUUUCUUCGGAACUUCCACGUUGAGAUGGACCCGCGGCGCAUUAGCUAGUUGGUGAGGUAACGGCUCACCAAGGCAACGAUGCG